rnacentral:lncRNA from 1 species
UUCUUUCCACACAUUCCACAAAAAGAAAGAUAUCUUGAAAGGUAGGCCUUUGACCAAUAUCAUCUUGUAAGCUAUCCUUGGAUUUUCUCUUAUUCUCAAAUAAUCCCAUGCAGUUUUUACAGAGAAAUGUCCCUUUGGUUCAAGCAUCCAGACCGGAAUAUCUAACUCUGCACAUUCUUUUGGUGGAGUAAUGUUCUGCACAAUGUGAUUAGCCCACUCUUCAGGUAAAAUUUGAAAUAAUUUUUCCACAUUCCACAUAUCAUUAUCAAUCAAAUCAUU